rnacentral:rRNA from 1 species
UACAGAGGGUGCAAGCGUUAAUCGGAAUUACGGGGCGUAAAGCGUGCGUAGACGGUUAUGUAAGUCAGAUGUGAAAGCCCCGGGCUUAACCUGGGAAUGGCAUUUGAGACUGCAUAGCUAGGGUGCGGAAGAGGGAAGCGGAAUUUCCGGUGUAGCGGUGAAAUGCGUAGAUAUCGGAAGGAACACCAGUGGCGAAAGCGGCUUCCUGGUCCAGCACCGACGUUCAGGCACGAAAGCGUGGGGAGCAAACAGG